GUUCAUACUGUGAUGCAAAGCAAAGUUGUUGCUACCCAACCACUGGCAAACCUGCAGCUGAUUUCGGCAUUCAUGGGCUUUGGCCUAAUUACAAUGAUGGGAAUUACCCUUCCAAUUGUGAUUCUGGUAACCCCUUCAAUCAAAAUAAGAUUUCAGAUCUAAGAAGCAGUAUGGAAAAAAAUUGGCCAACACUGGCUUGCCCAAGCGGCAAUGGAUUGACCUUUUGGUCACAUGAAUGGGAAAAGCAUGGUACCUGCUCUGAGUCGAUCCUUGACCAACAUGGCUACUUCGAGGCUGCCCUUGACUUGAAAAAGCAAGUAAAUCUCCUCCAAGCUCUUCAGAGCGCAGGAAUACAACCAAAUGGGGGAACAUACGGCUUGAGCAGCAUCAGGAGUGCAAUACAAGGAGCAAUAGGCUAUACUCCAUGGAUAGAAUGCAAUACUGAUGAAUCAGGCAACAGCCAGCUUUACCAAAUUUACUUGUGUGUGGAUACUUCUGGAUCAAACCUCAUUGAAUGCCCAGUGUUUCCAAGUGGAAAAUGUGGCUCAGAGAUUGAGUUCCCCUCCUUUUAGAACACCAAAUUGUCAAUUGAUGCUUCCUUUUCUCUUUUAUUCACUAAUUUUCAGUUCAUUACAGUCCUUAAUUUGUCUCUCAAGUGAGCAUUGUAGCUUCCUGGAGAUAAUAAAAUCAUUAGAUAUGUCCA
rnacentral:misc_RNA from 1 species